rnacentral:rRNA from 1 species
UACGGGGGGAGCAAGCGUUGUUCGGAUUUACUGGGCGUAAAGGGCGCGUAGGCGGUCGUGACAAGUCACUUGUGAAAUCUCCGGGCUUAACUCGGAACGGUCAAGUGAUACUGUCGGACUAGAGUACAGAAGGGGCAACUGGAAUUCUCGGUGUAGCGGUGAAAUGCGUAGAUAUCGAGAGGAACACCUGCGGCGAAGGCGGGUUGCUGGGCUGAUACUGACGCUGAGGCGACGAAAGCCAGGGGAGCGAACGGGG